CGCGUAGGCGGCCUCCGCGAGUCAAUUGUGAAAUCUCCGAGCUUAACUCGGAACGGUCAAGUGAAACUGUCAUGCUAGAGUGCAGAAGGGGCAAUCGGAAUUCUUGGUGUAGCGGUGAAAUGCGUAGAUAUCAAGAGGAACACCUGCGGCGAAGGCGGGUUGCUGGGCUGACACUGACGCUGAGGCGCGAAAGCUAGGGGAGCGGAACG
rnacentral:rRNA from 1 species